rnacentral:rRNA from 1 species
AGAGAGAGACAUGCGCGCAUAUCAAUAAGCGGAGGAAAAGAAACUAACUAGGAUUCCCUCAGUAACGGCGAGUGAAGCGGGAAGAGCUCAAAUUUGAAAUCUUCAAGGUUCUACCUUGACGAAUUGUAGUUUAAAGAAGUGUUUUCUGUUGGAGUUUUGGUAAAAGUUCUUUGGAAUAGGACAUCAUAGAGGGUGAGAAUCCCGUAUUUGACCAUUACUUUCCAACUUUGUGAUACACUUUCAAAGAGUCGGAUUGUUUGGGAAUGCAGUCCAAAAUGGGUGGUAAAUUUCAUCUAAAGCUAAAUAUUGGCGAGAGACCGAUAGCGAACAAGUACCGUGAGGGAAAGAUGAAAAGAACUUUGAAAAGAGAGUUAAACAGUACGUGAAAUUGUCGAAAGGGAAGCGUUUGACACCAGUGUUGUUUUCUCGAAAAUCAAUUAAAAAAGGCAGGAUUUUGUGUUGUAUUGACUUUAUCAGCUUUCUGCACUCUUUUCUUGUCUUUUUUAAUGCACUUUUCGUUUAACAAGUCAACAUCAAUUUCUUUUGUUAGUAAAAAGGGUCAUUGGAAGGUGGCUUUCCUUUCGGAGAAAGUGUUUAUAGCCUUUGACUCCUGCAAUCGGAGAGAUUGAGGUCUGCAGCGUAGAUCCUUCGGGGCUAAAUGCAUUUGUGCUAAGUUAUAGCCUUUCAUAGACAACUUGUUGACUAUGAUCAGUCAUGUAGCUUACUCGCUUAUGUUAUUUUACCUACGCUUAGGAUGUUGAUGUGAUACUGCGAGCA